AGUCUCGGCACAAGGCCUGACGAGACUGUUGUUCCUGAGUCGGCUUUAUAGAUCCUGUGGCCGUAAAGUAGGCCGUGAAUUGCCCGAAUCGAGCCGACGUAUAGAACUCCGGGGUUGAAAGCAUUAUGGUGGGAGGAAACCGGACAGAGC